CGUUUAUGAACGUAGUAUACACUGUCCAUCCAUACCAGAUCAGUAUAAACCGCAGCGAUAUAAAACAGAGCUCAAAUAUAUCCUUUUAUUCUAAAUGAUGAAAUCCCUUGAGCAAGGUUUACAUCCCAUCCUGCUCCUUUUAUUUGUAUACAUUGCAGAUGUUAUUUUUACAGACCCUUUAUGGGCUUUUGUACAGUGCGGUGGAAGAGUUUCGUACUAUAUAAAUAAAUGAUAGCAAUACUAAUACCAACAACAACAAAAAAUAAAUAAAGUAGAUGAUUAUAACACAACCACGUUUUUUUUUUCCCAGGCUCCGAAGAUCUGCCUUCUAUGUGCUCUUAAGCCAAGCUGCAGCCCCGACGGAUUAGCAGGCAAAGCCAUGCCACGUUCUCGCCAGGGGAUCCAGCAAAGCUUCCAUGAGACAAACAAGGAAACUCCAAAGAGGGCAAGUCCACAGGCUGUGACCAAAAGGGACAGCAAACUCACCGAAACAUCUGGAAAAGAAGAAUAGGAAACACAAAUAAAUGUUAUGACGUAUUUGCACCUGAAUUAAGCCAAAUUCAAAAGUCAAAUUCUUUAAAUACAUGAAGCCCUUU